GAUGAACGCUGGCGGCGUGCCUAAUACAUGCAAGUCGAGCGAACGGACGAGAAGCUUGCUUCUCUGAUGUUAGCGGCGGACGGGUGAGUAACACGUGGAUAACCUACCUAUAAGACUGGGAUAACUUCGGGAAACCGGAGCUAAUACCGGAUAAUAUUUUGAACCGCAUGGUUCAAAAGUGAAAGACGGUCUUGCUGUCACUUAUAGAUGGAUCCUCGCUGCAUUAGCUAGUUGGUAAGGUAACGGCUUACCAAGGCAACGAUGCAUAGCCGACCUGAGAGGGUGAUCGGCCACACUGGAACUGAGACACGGUCCAGGCUCCUACGGGAGGCAGCAGUAGGGAAUCUUGCGCAAUGGGCGAAAGCCUGACGGAGCAACGCCGCGUGAGUGAUGAAGGUCUUCGGAUCGUAAAACUCUGUUAUUAGGGAAGAACAUAUGUGUAAGUAACUGUGCACAUCUUGACGGUACCUAAUCAGAAAGCCACGGCUAACUACGUG
rnacentral:rRNA from 1 species